rnacentral:rRNA from 1 species
ACCCGCUGAACUUAAGCAUAUCAAUAAGCGGAGGAAAAGAAACCAACAGGGAUUGCCCUAGUAACGGCGAGUGAAGCGGCAACAGCUCAAAUUUGAAAUCUGGCGUCUUUGGCGUCCGAGUUGUAAUUUGCAGAGGGCGCUUUGGCAUUGGCAGCGGUCCAAGUUCCUUGGAACAGGACGUCACAGAGGGUGAGAAUCCCGUACGUGGUCGCUAGCCUUUACCGUGUAAAGCCCCUUCGACGAGUCGAGUUGUUUGGGAAUGCAGCUCUAAAUGGGAGGUAAAUUUCUUCUAAAGCUAUAUCCCGGCCAGAGACCGAUAGCGCACAAGUAGAGUGAUCGAAAGAUGAAAAGCACUUUGGAAAGAGAGUUAAAAAGCACGUGAAAUUGUUGAAAGGGAAGCGCUUGCAGCCAGACUUGCCUGUAGUUGCUCAUCCGGGUUUUUACCCGGUGCACUCUUCUAUAGGCAGGCCAGCAUCAGUUUGGGCGGUUGGAUAAAGGUCUCUGUCAUGUACCUCUCUUCGGCGAGAACUUAUAGGGGAGACGACAUGCAACCAGCCCGGACUGAGGUCCGCGCAUCUGCUAGGAUGCUGGCGUAAUGGCUGU